rnacentral:misc_RNA from 1 species
AACCAGGGCCUUUCUAUGGAGACACAGCUGGCUGCUAGAGGUCCAAGUCACUUUGCAGAACACAAACCUCCAAACAGUUUACCUAUAGGCCAGGUCAAGGGUCAAAUGUCAAUGGAUCAAGGUCACUCUGGGACAAAGGUUGAUGCAAUGUAUGCUGCACAGAAUAUGAAUGAGGUAGACAGUAACCACCUCCAAACAGACAAUAGUACGCCCUCCUCUCAACACAGUGUUCCUAAAAAAGAGUCAAACCCUCCAGAUAAGGCUGACUCGGAUUUUGGACUUUCGGUGACUGUUCCUUCUUUGAAUGACCUUGAUGACAUCAAUGACUCGGAAAGUGACACUCAGUCUGGGAACGGACAAAUGUUGUCAUGUCCUAAAUGUGGACAAAGUUUUAGUGCCGAUUGCCAUGCUCAGUUAGUGGAGCAUUUGGAAGUGUGUUGUGAUUGACCUUGAACGUUUUGAACUUUUGACCUCUGAAUAUGGUGUAUAUUUAUUUUGUAAUGAUUCAUAGGUAACAGAAUUGGGGGACGAGGGGUUAAAUGAUCAGUCCUUUAUUAAAAAAAACAAUUUGGUAAAUCUAGAUGAUAACAGUUUGAAGAUUUUAUAAAUUUAAUAUAAAUAACACAAUAAGUUGAAUUGCAAAGGGCAACAACAUAACAAAUACAUCAUCAAAUACUAUCCUUUCUGCAAAAAUAAUUUUAUUGAAAUAUACAUCGAAAACAUUGAAUCCGUUGAUAAACACAUGUAUACACACGGCAAGUGGGUUUCUCCAUCUACCUGUAACUACAUGUAUUCCUAAUUAAAUGAAGGUACCGGUUCUCACACAGGUGUUCAGAUAAGUCAAUAAUUUCCGGGUUUUCUUGCAAUUCGUGGUAAGAACCACAAAAUUAAAUGCUGUUUUGAAUGUGGAUUUCAGAGACAUCCAAAUCACUCGUCCAUAUUUACAGUAUACAUCCUGGCAAGCUUUAAACUAUUGUGUAUAGGAUCAUAUAACAUUGGUAGGUGAAUACAUUGUACAAUUAUAGUCUGUGAUAUAAUUCUCAAAUAUCGGGAUAUGACAAUUCUGUCAAGUAAGACGGGGACUUGGCAGAGAAGAACUGCAUUAAUGCAGAAUCGAUGACUAAACAUUCUCUCUACAUGAUAAAGUACUAUGGAAUCAUCUAAUUUUGGGAGGCCAAAAGGUUUAUAGGGAUUUUAUUUUGUGGGUACGUUUGUAUGUUUUACUGUUAGUAAUGAAUAAUUUGUUUCCUAAUUUAUUGUGGAUGUUAAUUAUUCAUGUUGUUGAAGACUCACAAAAUUAAUGACAAUUGAGCCGACUAAGAUUCUAUAGAUUACACCUAAAAUAUAUUUGUGAAAAUAAGACAGGAUAUGAUGUCAUGUAACAGGAUAUGAUGUCAAAGACCACUAACAUUGAGAAUCAAGGGGAAUUGAGUUCAAAUUAGUCAUUCAGAUUACACAAAGAAAGGAUGACAUGAAAUUCAAUGUGUGUAGGUAAAAUUUACAGAGCAUGUAUGAGAAGCCUAUUGAAUAAACUAUUAACCUGGCCAGACCAAUAAUUUAUGCUUCAAUUUGAUCUUUCCAAAGUUAUAUCAAUUACAAAUGUAAAGCUAAUGUUUAUGACUUUAUCAAAAUAAAGAUGGCUUUGAUAUUUGAUUUUAAUGAUACAUAGAACUGAUUUUUUUAUGUGUACUAGAUUUGAAAAUCAUAUGCAUUUUGAAAGAUGUGAUUUUCAUCAUAUAUACAUAUGUAUGGCUUGCAGAUUAAAUAAACUUCAGUUUAAGACUAUCUUUUAUGAGCAAUUAACGUGAUACAAUUUGAUAAUGUUUAAUAUUGGAAGGGUUGUAAAUAUGAAGUUUUAGCUGGUCAAGGGAGAUAAGUACAUUUUUUUCCUGCGAUGUAGAUCAUCAUGGAUUACCUCCCUUGACAUGGUUAAAAUAGACUUGGGUGCUGACUCCAGUGUUUGCCAAAUAAUGUUUCAUCCCCAUUCAUCAAUACUAUGUCCUGUGCUGUGUAUGUAUGUUCUUGACUUUUUUAAUUACCAUGAAUACAAGUGGUUAUAAGAUAUUCAGCUAUCCAAUGUUUUUAUGUAUCUGUCAAAGUUUUGAUAGUAAAAUCAAUCAUUAUUAG